ACAUGACUACAACAUAGCAUUGAUGCAUUGGAUCCCAAUAGAACUCUGUAGUUAAGUGUGCUCAGACUAGAGCAAUGUUGGGAUGGGUGAUCGCCCGGAAAGUCUUAGUGUUUUACAUGCC
rfam:Picea glauca, whole genome shotgun sequence.